rnacentral:rRNA from 1 species
AUGUGUGUGCCACAGAGCAAUGGAGGUAUGGGUUUUAGAGAUGUACACUGCUUCAAUCUGGCGCUCCUAGCAAAGCAGUGCUGAAGAUUGUUAGCAGAACCAGAUUCUUUAUGUGCCAGAGUAUUGAGGGCAAAGUAUUUCCCGGACGGUGAUUUGCUGAACUGUUCCCUUAAGAAAUGCAGUUCUUAUACAUGGCAAAGCUUGUGGAGUGGUAUUCAGACUUUCAAAAAAGGUUAUAUAUGGAGAAUGGGAGAUGGCACUCAAAUAAGUAUCUGGAGUGAUCCUUGGGUACCCAGCAGCCCAAACAGGAAGGUAAUGACUCCACGAUGUACUAUCUUACCUACAAAAGUUUCUGAACUUAUGGAUGAGGAGAAUGGGUGCUGGGAUGAGCAACUUAUUAGACAUAUAUUCUGGCCCAUUGAUGCAACUCGUAUUUUGAAUAUACCCGUGGCUACGGGGAUGAUGGAGGACUUUGUUUCAUGGCACACAAACAAAUCUGGAAUUUUCUCGGUCAGGACGGCUUAUCACAUGGAGUGA